UACGUAGGGCGCAAGCGUUGUCCGGAUUUAUUGGGCGUAAAGAGCUCGUAGGCGGCUUGUCGCGUCGACUGUGAAAACCCACGGCUCAACCGUGGGACUGCAGUCGAUACGGGCAGGCUAGAGUUCGGCAGGGGAGACUGGAAUUCCUGGUGUAGCGGUGAAAUGCGCAGAUAUCAGGAGGAACACCGGUGGCGAAGGCGGGUCUCUGGGCCGAAACUGACGCUGAGGAGCGAAAGCGUGGGGAGCGAACAGG
rnacentral:rRNA from 1 species